AGCAUAAAGGAAAAUAAGGCAAACUGCAAGUUGUUCCUGGAAUGGAAAACUUACUGUUCUGAGGUAACAUGACUCAAUUCCAUCCAUAUCUGUGUCACCAUUAACAGGAAUUUGGAAUUUACUUUGAGCAACCUGAGCUUCUUUAUCUGCUUCUUACCUCAGCAACAAAAUCAAAAUGCACAUAUCCACUUGGAUGAGUGCACCUGUACCUCAUAACCCGACUGUGAAAAUUAGAAGCCUUAAUAUUCAUAAUUAACUCUUAAUCUUUAAAGUACUUCUUAGAGCAACUAAACCACUAUAUAAAACCUCCACCGGCUCAAUUGUAGGUCAAUCCCAUACAACUUACAAGUGACACCAAUACCUAUUAUUCAUAAAAAGAUCAUAGUCCUAACAUAUUUAGGAAGAGUAAAUUUGGGCCCUACAGAAUUUAAUCUCAAUUUGUAUUUAUACAAUCUUUACAUUGCUAAAUAGAUUUUUGGUAUUGCUGGAAGAGUAACAUUGACAUUAUGUCUACCAGGAAUUUGUUUGUCUGGAGAGGUGAGAAGACUUGAAAUGAUUGCUUUAUGAUGAUAAAUCCUUCAGUACUGGAAAUAGGGCUGUAUGCAGUUGAGAAGGGAACUGGCUGGACAUCUCUUAGAAAACACUAGUGUUGGACCUUUAGCGGGGGAUAACUUUUACACACUGCUGUCUUAAUGGGUCUUAGCACAAAGUGAGUGCUCAUAAAUAUUUAGAGCUGUAUUUUAUGUCUUCCUUUACUAAACAGAGUUAGUGAAGCCAAAAUAAGAUGCUGUCUACAUCUUAUUUUAAGAAUCACAUGUAGCAACUGCUAGUUGUCGAAACCAUUUGUUACAUAGAGAUAUCAUCAAAAUCAUGUAAGCUUCAGCAAUGAACACAUCUUACUAACCCACAACAAAUUCACUGAAUUGAAAGAGAUAUUUAUAGCCUAAGUGCUGACCCCAGUGUGUGUCAGGCCAUGUGAAGAUGGCUGAACAGUAUUUGGGAUUUCAGUGUCCAACAAACUAUGGAAUUUACAAAGACUUUAUGAAAGGCUGUGGAGGCCAGCUGUUUAAGGAAGGAAACUAUUCUGCAGCUCUAGAGAAAAAGCAAGUGUGUGAACAGUGGUCAAGGGCUGGCCUGGAACUCACUAUACUUCAAAAUUGUAUGAGUCCUUCUGCCUCUGAACUUGAAUGCUGGAUUCACAGGUAUAUGACUUUAUGGUUGUCUCUUUCUCUGUUUAAAUAGUGAAGCAUCAUUGGCUAAAGUGGCUUAGUGGUUAAGAGCACUUUUCCCUGCAGACAACCUGAGAUGAGUUCCUAGCACCUAUAUGGUAUGCCUUACAUCUCCCUGUAACUCCACUUACAGGGGCCCAUUAUCAUCUUCUGACCUUUGUACACGCACCUGUAAAUACAUUUAAAACAUGGGUUAUCUUUUAAAUUUUCAAUUGUAUAGGACAUUUAUAUAUCUUACACAUAAAUUUCUUACCAGAUACAUGAUUUUCAAAUAGUUUCUUACACUUGGUGGCUUAGCUUUGCCCUUUUUCGACAACAUCUUUUCAGAUACCGUAGUGCAUAAUGCUGAUAGUGUCUAGUAUUUCCUUUAGUUUCUAUCUAAUAUUGCUUCCUUCUAAAAGUAGUAAUAUUUUAAAUCCUACAUGUAUGUGCUAUAUUUUGAGUUAAUUUUGCAUGUAAGAAUCUGAAAGAUGUCCAACUUUGCUCUCUUUUUUUAAAAAUCAGGACACUGGGUGUAUCUAUUUUUUAUUAGCAUAUUGCAAGAUAAUGUGUUUCACUGUGGUUUCACUGAGUUUUGCAUGAAGUUAUGCCUUCCCCAUCCACUGUGAGUCAAGACAGACAGACAUGGUAACAGAAAGAGACACAGCAAAGAAAUGACUCUGAAAUCUCCCAGUGUCUAAGAGUCAAGAAUUUCAGCACAACUAACAAAAACAUGCUGUGAAUACUACCUCCAAACAGACAAUAGUCUUUUUUCCCAAUAGAUAUGCUUCAAAUAAGCGUGUCAGAAUGGUAGGAACCACAUUAGAAAGAAAGCAUAAGUCACCAUGUUAUUUAACCUUCUCUUUCAUCCACAAACAGUUUCUGAGAACACCACAAUCAAGAUUAGACAUGUUUAUAGCUACAACAUAGGCAGAGAACUUCCUGGUGACUUCUCACUGUGUACACCUGAUACAAUGCACCCCAGAAAUCAAACACCUUAUGACCUACUUAUUACAGAAAUUUCUUGAGAUAAAACCAUUCAAAAAUUUUAAAUCCUUUGAGCAGUGUAAGCUCCAAAAUCUUGUAAGCUAGAGAGAUGGCUCAGAGGUUAAGAGUACUGGUUACUCUUGCAGAAAAUCUAGGUUUAGUUCCCAGCAUCCACAAGGCAGAUCACAACCAUCUAUAACUCCAGUUUCAGAGGAUCUGAUGACCUCUCUUGGCCUCCACUAGAACUUCAUGCAUACGGUGCAGAAACAUACAUGCAGCAAAACAGGCAUACACUUAAAAUAUAAAUACAUAAAUCAACUUCUUGAAUAAUAGUGUAAGUGUUGUAGAGACACUUGAUGUACCUCUUUUGUCAGGUCAUGCUUCGCUGUAGGAAGUGUAUCACCACUAUACCCCAAUACCCGUGCUUAAAUUCAAUUCAUAUUUUUAAAAAAAUAAUUCCAACUUUGUUUGUUAUUGACUCAUCCUGAUGUGUUUUGUCUGCAGUGGAAAUCAAGAUCAUCAGCUUCACCAGUGUUGAAGUUCACUCAGGCUGAUACAACUGGUUGUGCAGAGCAAUUUCUCCUGCUGCCACUGAAAUCUGAUAAACCUACCUUAUACUCCAUCACCAAACCCUGUUGACGAAUUAGGAUAGCCUGCAACACUGUAGUCUUGCUUGAAAAUCCAUCACCUCGGACUUUUGGGAUUUUUCUUUUCAUGUCACUAACCUCAUGGAUGCCUGAGAAAUGACUUGUGGAAACUCCCUGGCUGUGGCUGCUGAAAAGAAUCCAAGUAUCGAAUUACAUGAAAUGAAAAAACAUGUUAAGGAUCGGUUUCGUUUUCCUGGAUACGGGUGUAGUUCCUAGAACCAGUGUAAAUAAAUGCUAAGCACUCCACCACC